GGUUAGUCAUCAGGAGAGUGGGUCUGUUAUAAAAGCCAGUUUGACACACUCUCGCCCUCUCACCACGUGAUUCCUUCCACCACGUUAUGACACAGCAAGAAGGCCCUCACCAGAUGCAGCCCCUUAACCUUGGACUUCCCAGACUUCAGAGCUGUAAGACAUGUCUGCUCCUGUGUCACCUUCCACGGUGAGUAAAAGCUCCCUGAGGCCUCCCCAGAAGCCGAGCAGAUGCUGGUACUAUGCUUCCUGUACAGCCUGCAGAAACGGUCUCCCUCUGCUGCCCAGGCUGGAGUGCAGUGACAUGAUCUUGGCUCAGUGCAGCCUCCACCUCCUGCGUUCAAAUGAUUCUCAUGCCUCAGCCUCCCGAGUAGCUGGGAUUAUAGGGUGACCAGCCACCUCUGCAGGCAUGGGCAGGCUGGGCUGUGAGCAGAUCUGCUUCUGAGCCCCCACCAGUCUUCUGGGAGAAGUUUCCGUGGAGGCAACAGACAUCAGAUGGAGGCCCCGUCGCCAGCAUUUCCUUGGUUGCUCAGGCCCUCUCAGAGCUGCUGUCAGAUGGCCUUGAACUGAAUAGUGAGGGGCUCUAGCCAGGCCCGCCCCACAGGGCUGAUCACCCAUCCUCCAGCUGCUGGGACUUUUAGAUGCAGAUGGCUUACAGCUGCAUUCUGUGGAACUGGAGACUGCUUCCCUCUGGGUCACAUCUGCUGCCAGAGGUGCCGACAACCAAUGACAAUCUAUUAGGAUAUGAAGGCCCACCCCGUGCCUCAAUUUGGGACAAUGCUGAAGGAGCAUCUCAGCUGCAGAGCCCCCAUAGGAUGGCUGAGGCCUCAGAUGCAACGUCAUCAUGGUUCACCUUCUCCCUUUCCCAGUCUGGCCUCGCUUGGCUCCUUCUGCAGGGAUCAUUUACAGAAGGUGUAAGGAACCAAGUGAGGCAGGACUGGUUCUUCUUCCUACACAAAUCUCUGCAUCAGUAUCUCCAAAGGGCCCCAUCUGAAACACCCAGCCUACCCACUCUUCUCAGAGACCGAAUUUUUUCUUUUCUUUUUCUUUUUCUUUUUCUUUUUUUUUUUUUUUGUGACGGAGUUUCACUCUUGUUACCCAGGCUGGAGUGCAAUGGUGCGAUCUCGGCUCACCGCAACCUCCGCCUCCUGGGUUCAGGCAAUUCUCCUGCCUCAGCCUCCCGAGUAGCUGGGAUUACAGGCACGCGCCACCGUGCCCAGCUAAUUUUUUGUAUUUUUUAGUAGAGACGGGGUUUCACCAUGUUGACCAGGAUGGUCUCGAUCUGUUGACCUUGUGAUCCACCUGCCUCGGCCUCCCAAAGUGCUGGGAUUAUAGGCUUGAGCCACCGCGUCCGGCCCGAAUUUUUUCUUACCAAAACUUCUUUCAGGAGAGGCUCUGAUAAGCUGGUUCACAUGGAGGUAUCCAUGGUUGAUAACAGCUCAAUGGAUUUAUUUUUCCAGAGUCAUCUGCUAUUUAUGAGAAUCUUAAGUCAAAGAGUGAAUGAACUUUCUAGGUAAUGAGGUAAGAUUGGGGCAUUUCUGAUUUAUCAGUGAAUUAGGGACUGCGCCACACCAACAGUGUAAAGUAAGACGGGGUGAUUCUAAGCCUCGUAAAUGUUAAUUGAGACAUGCUAGACUGGCUCUUGAGAUCUGCCAUGUUGUGGCUUUUAAAGAGAGAAUCAGCAAGGUGUGACAAAUAGGGACCCAGCUAGCUCUGUGACUUUUCCUCUCUGGAGCUCAGUUUCAUCAACUGAUUAAUGGUAAUGCUCAUUAUAAAACUGUAUCCACACAUGAGCUUAAUUAAGAAGAAGAUAUUAAUAUACACAUUUUCGUACACACAGAAAAGUUAGAUGUAAAUGCCCUGGAAUGGAGACUCCCAAACUUCCUCUUUUUAUACUGCCCUUAGUGUCACAGUAAUUUUUUUUAUUAUUUAUGUGCCCCCAAGACAAAAAGAAAUACCAAAGAGAUCCAUUGAUUGAGUAGUUAAGUCUAAAUAAAUCAAUGUGUAUAUCUGUCCUAA